rnacentral:rRNA from 1 species
AGUGAACGCUGGCGGUAGGCCUAACACAUGCAAGUCGAACGGCAGCACAGAGGAGCUUGCUCCGUGGGUGGCGCGUGGCGGACGGGUGAGGAAUACAUCGGAAUCUACUCUGUCGUGGGGGAUAACGUAGGGAAACUGACGCUAAUACCGCAUACGACCUACGGGUGAAAGCAGGGGACCCUCGGACCUUGCGCGCUUGCAUGAGCCGAUGUCGGAUUAGCUAGUGGGCGGGGUAAAGGCCCACCAAGGCGGCGACCCGUAGCUGGUCUGAGAGGAUGAUCAGCCACACUGGAACUGAGACACGGUCCAGACUCCUACGGGAGGCAGCAGUGGGGAAUAUUGGACAAUGGGCGCAAGCCUGAUCCAGCCAUACCGCGUGGGUGAAGAAGGCCUUCGGGUUGUAAAGCCCUUUUGUUGGGAAAGAAAUCCAGCUGGCUAAUACCCGGUUGGGAUGACGGUACCCAAAGAAUAAGCACCGGCUAACUUCGUGCCAGCAGCCGCAGUAA